UUGGAUACAGCUUACUUCCCUGGGUGA
rnacentral:sRNA from 1 species